CCCUUAGAUGUUCUGGGCCGCACGCGUGCUACACUGAGUGGAUCAGCGGGUCAGGUUGCGCGAAAGCGUUUCCUAAUCUUUAAAUCCGCUCGUGAUGGGGAUUGACGGUUGCAAUUUUCUGUCAUGAACGAGGAAUACCUAGUAAGCGCGGGUCAUCAUCCCGCGCUGAAUACGUCCCUGCCCUUUGUACACACCGCCCGUCGCUCCUACCGAUUGAGUGGUCCGGUGAGGCUUUGGGAUCUGAGCGGAAAGAGCGUUUCGCUGUUUCUGCUCGGAAAACUCAGUCGAACCUUAUCAUUUAGAGGAAGGAGAAGUCGUAACA
rnacentral:rRNA from 1 species